GAUGAACGCUGGCGGCGUGCCUAAUACAUGCAAGUCGAGCGAACAGACGAGGAGCUUGCUCCUCUGACGUUGGCGGCGGACGGGUGAGUAACACGUGGAUAACCUACCUAUAAGACUGGGAUAACUUCGGGAAACCGGAGCUAAUACCGGAUAAUAUAUUGAACCGCAUGGUUCAAUAGUGAAAGACGGUUUUGCUGUCACUUAUAGAUGGAUCCGCGCCGCAUUAGCUAGUUGGUAAGGUAACGGCUUACCAAGGCAACGAUGCGUAGCCGACCUGAGAGGGUGAUCGGCCACACUGGAACUGAGACACGGUCCAGACUCCUACGGGAGGCAGCAGUAGGGAAUCUUCCGCAAAGGGCGAAAGCCUGACGGAGCAACGCCGCGUGAGUGAUGAAGGUCUUCGGAUCGUAAAACUCUGUUAUUAGGGAAGAACAAAUGUGUAAGUAACUAUGCACGUCUUGACGGUACCUAAUCAGAAAGCCACGGCUAACUACGUG
rnacentral:rRNA from 1 species